rnacentral:lncRNA from 1 species
UAGUAUACUUGGGACAUGUUCAAGUUGCUAGAGUUGUUGAACCUUGUUUAUGUCUCAAGAUACUUAAGUUGUGAUUGUUGAUUCUGUUUUUAAAUUAUUUCUAAGUUUACCAGCAUGGUUAUGACUAGUUAUUGUUUUUGGUCAAUUGUUUGAGUUGUGUAAGGUCUAGGCGAGUUGUCUAGAACCUGUUUUGUGUCUUGUUGCAUUGCUAGAAGUCUAGGAGAGUUUCCUGG